rnacentral:rRNA from 1 species
CCUACGGGCGGCUGCAGUGAGGAAUAUUGGUCAAUGGACGCAAGUCUGAACCAGCCAUGCCGCGUGCAGGAUGACUGCCUUAUGGGUUGUAAACUGCUUUUAUUCAGGAAGAAACAUUCCUACGAGUUGGGAAUUUGACGGUACUGUUUGAAUAAGGAUCGGCUAACUCCGUGCCAGCAGCCGCGGUAAUACGGAGGAUCCAAGCGUUAUCCGGAAUCAUUGGGUUUAAAGGGUCCGUAGGCGGGUAGAUUAGUCAGCGGUGAAAGUUUAUGGCUUAACCAUAAAAUUGCCGUUGAUACUGUUUAUCUUGAAUAAGUGUGAAGUGGUUAGAAUGAGUAGUGUAGCGGUGAAAUGCAUAGAUAUUACUCGGAAUACCAAUUGCGAAGGCAGAUCACUAACACUUUAUUGACGCUGAGGGACGAAAGCGUGGGGAGCAAACAGGAUUAGAUACCCCGGUAGUC